rnacentral:rRNA from 1 species
GACGAACGCUGGCGGCGUGCUUAACACAUGCAAGCGGAGCGGCGAACCGGGCUUCGGCCCGGGGCAAAGCCGCGAACGGGUGAGUAACACGUGGGUAACCUGCCCCAAUGAUCGGGACAACCCGGGGAAACCCGGGCUAAUACCGAAUGUGCUCCCACCACAUCAGUGGUGGAUGGAAAGGAAGCUUCGGCCUCCGCAUUGGGAUGGGCCCGCGGCCCAUUAGCUUGUUGGUGAGGUAACGGCUCACCAAGGCUGCGAUGGGUAGCUGGUCUGAGAGGACGAUCAGCCACACUGGGACUGAGACACGGCCCAGACUCCUACGGGAGGCAGCAGUGGGGAAUCUUGCGCAAUGCGCGAAAGCGUGACGCAGCAACGCCGCGU